GUCUCAGAAUCUUUGAUUUUUUUUUUCCUUUUUUACUUUCUCAAUUGCUUCGCCAAAUCUUUUUAUUUUCUUGAGCAUGGAAUCUUAAUUUUUGACACUGGGCCUGGAAUGGACAACAGUGAUAAAAACUCUGUCGUGAAGUGUUGGAUAAGACAAAAGUAAAGGUAUCCUACAUUUUGUGGCUGUUCCUCGUCCAAGUAGUUUUGGUUUUUCUAGUGCUUCAAUUGACUUGGACCAGAAGGGCAUUGUGAAUAUUAAUUUAGAGAUGUCAAUGGAAGUCAAAUUUAGAAGAACCAAGAACCAUGAAUAUACAUAUUUGCUCAUUCCGCAUUAUACCUUCAACCUGAAAAGGGUUUUAUGGCUUAUAUAUAUGUUCUGUCUUGGUUACAAGUUCCCACACUUAUUUCAAAAAGCAGGUGCAUAUAUGUUUUCAUUCUAUAGUGUGAGUAAUUCAGAUACCUUUUUUUUUUUCAUCUUUUUCCUACUUUGAAUUAUAUAAUCUUAUUUGUUUUUCAGUUUCCUAUGACCAUGUAUCCAAAUGGAAGGUUCAAAUUAAUUUUGAAUAUUCUGGUUUCCAUAAUUACAAGCAAAUAGUAUUGGGAGUGCCAUCACAAAAGGUUGGAAACUGGCAGCUUCUUGGCGAUGAAAAUAUUCCAUCUUAUAAUUAAGUGUGAAUGUUCUUGAGGAUACAAUCUCAAAUUUUGACACUAGACCUGGAAUGGACAACAGUCCUUUUUCCUCUAUCGUGAAGUGGUAUGUUAUACCCAAUUCUUUUUCCUCUUCUUUAUAUUUGUGUUUAUUUUGUUUUAACUUAUUGGUUUGGCUUACUUGUCUUCUAUAGUUGAUAAGACAGAAGAAAAGGUAUCCUAGAGUAAGUGAUGUAUUCAAAUGCUAUAGUUUUUGAGCAGCUUUUAGAUGCCUCGUUCAUCCACCUCAUAAAGAAAAGAAGAAUGCGUGAGUCUGGGAAGCCUCAGUUUGCAAUUGACUCAUUCGUAAUAUAAAUGUCAGUCCAACUUGCUCAAAGUUCAAACCUGAGUGGGAUAUAUUUUUGAAAUAAACAUGCGCUGUAUACUUCUACAAGGAAUUUCUAAAAUUGCAUUAUUAAUAUUCGAGGGAUGAUUAAGAUAAUCUCGUAUUGUCUAAAGAGAGAAAAGAAUGAAGAGAAGAAAAAUGCUGACCUCAAAGAAAACUAUUCUUCCUCAACUUUAGCUCUAAAUUAAUAGUUUGCACCCCGUUCCAUAAGUGUCGUCCCAUUUUUUUAUCGUAUCUUUUUUUUUUUCUCAUUUUGAAAAGAUGGACUUCUUAUCAUGUUGGGAAUGUAGUGGCAUAGUUGCACAAUUUCUUAGCAGUGAUUGUUGAUUAAAUUUAGGAAGAAAGUUGAUUCUAACGUGCCCAUAUUUCUCAUAAAUUUCAAUUAUCUUUGGAGUUUCUCAUAUAUUCAGGGGAAAGAUGGGUACCUUGUCUAAACAGGUUAUCUAAAGUACAUGCAAUAGGGUGCAAACCGCCAUACUUAGUGGUAAAAAAUUCUGUGAAACUCUUCUUUUUGGUCAUACACAUUAGUAUCUCUGUCUGAAAUGCACAUAAUUGGAGUUUUCCUUUUGUCUUUGUGCUCUCAAUUAGUAUAAUUUUCUACUUAUUUGAUGCCUCAAAAAAAAGAAGAGGUGUCUAAUGCUAAGUUAGUUCCCCCCCUAUCCAAUCUUUGAAUAGGCGUCAUUUACCCAUUUUACUAAUUGUGGGUUGGAUUACUUUUUCUCUCGGGUUUUACUUUCUGUUGAUCAAAAUCAAUUGUUUGUUUGUAGCUAUUGCUCCAUAAUAGUAAGUGAAUCUUUAAUGGUGUUUGCCUGAGAAAUUUAUCUAUAGAGGUUACUUUGUGAAUUGGAUUCUAUGGUUAUUUGAUGUUUUUGGAUAUUUUUAUUAUCAACCUGCAAUGUCCUCUGAAAUACUACAGUAAUCCAUCAUUUCUCUUUAUACCAUCACUGGAUUUGUUGGAAGCUCUUUUUUGUAACAAAGCAGCCCUUUUUUGGUAUGUUUGGAUAUGGGGGACCUAAUGCAUCUAUGCAUCUAGGGAGGUAUGACAUCUUUGACAAAUUGCACAUGCCUCUCCCUCUGUUUUGUUUUCUGCUGAUUGAAUCAUGUCCUCGUGAUGCAAUAGAUUCUUGUGGUUAUUUUUUUCCUGUUCUCAUAUAGCUGUUCUAUGCCAAAUGUGUGAAUUGUGAGUUUAUGAUCUUUUUUAACCAAAUAGUCUUUAAUCUGUUGAUGUUGAUGUUGAAAUUUAUUGAGCCGGAAGACAGUUAACAUUUUUGCAACUGGAAAGGGAGAACUGGGAUUGGCUUCUUCAAAUGCAUGAUAGUUAUGAUGAUGAAAUCAAGUCUGGUAAGGAUCAGCCAAUUCUUCUGGCCCGUCCUUGAACAAGAAGGCACUAGGAAUAUCAUCUGAUGGUAUACAUUGUCUUUUUUAAGCAGUUUGAUGUACAAUGCAUGAUUGAUUGAUUUUUUAUAUUAUCUUGCAACCUUGUUAUUUUUGUUUAGACACUGGAGUAGAAUAUGUUAAAUCAGGUUAGGUCUUGUUUUUGUUUGUUAAUAUGUUUCUUUCCGUCCCAUUAGCUGAUAUCAAUUAAUUGUACUUUUGCUUCCUUUCAACUUGCAGUUAUAAGGGUUCAUUAAAUUCUCCAGUGAAAGGUAGUAUUACAGAAAAGUGACCAGAGAAUCAAUGUUCUUGGGUGCAUGCGCAGGGUGUCAUAAUAACAAUGUUUAUGCUACAAUAGAAAUUUUCUAUUUGAAGGAUUUCAAGGGGACUCUGGUGGUAAGGAAUAUGUUUAAAACAGCAAAUAAGUUCAAUCUGCUAUUGUCUUGUACUUCAUUAUUGAAUUUUGUACAUCUAAACAUUCUUUGGAUUGGUUAAUGCUUUCAUUUUAUCUGUUUUGUAUUGGAGAAGCUCUGAUUAUAGCAGGCAACUUUGUUGUGGUUUUUCUCCCUAAAUUUCUUGUAGUUUUUUUUUAUCUAAUACCUCAUGGUUUAUUUAUGAUAUAUGUCUGUUUCUGGUAUGGAAGGCCACGAGGUGUAGCGAAUGGCUGUAUUGUUUCUGUAAAUGGUGGAAAUGCCAGUUUAGAUAUUGAAAACUCAUUAUCUCUUCCAGUUAGUGUGAUUUAUUCUGGAAAGGUUAGCUUUUACUGUAAGUUCUUCUGUGCUCUGAGACACAGCUUCAUAUGGGUGAGACCACUAAACUUUUGAGUUUCAAGCGUUUACGCUGUCAAAAAGAUAUCUUCGGAUGCAAACUAAUUAUUCUCACUCAAAAAGAUAUCUUCAGAUGCAACCAAGGCCAUCAGCUAUUGUUGAUUCCGCAACUUCAAUGCAAGUGGAUCUGAAUGAAGCCCCUUUAAUUGCAAGGGAUGAAAUGAAUAAAUUGGAGAAUUUUCAGAAGUCCAAUCUGUUGCCGAGAGUUCUGAGGCUGUUUUGGUUUCAAACUUUCUUUUGCAGUGUUUCAGUAGAGACUUAAAAGAACAGAAAUCUAUUCUCAUAUGGUUCUUUUUGUGAACAUUCCAUCUUUUUAAUUUAUUUUUUGUCUUUCUGCCUCUUUUUUAAGGUAAAUUUUGAUAUAACAUGAUAUUUGCAGGAACUUCAAGAUGAUCUUUGAAUGUUGGGAUGAAAAUCAAGCAGCAUGAGGAGAGCACAAGAGUUCUAAAGAUUCAGAAGAACAAACUACAUGAUUCUGUACUUGAUGUGCAAGGUAUAAUUCUCUUAUUCUAAUUGCGUGCAUGAACGUAAAUUCCAUAUUACAAUUUAGGAAAAGAAUUAAAGAUGCUGAAAUAUUUGGGCAGGCUGCUAUCAAUGACAAUAGGAAUGAGUUAAAGAGAAAUUAUUUGAUACACUGAUAAUGAAAUUUUUUAAUUUCACAAGUAGGGUUCAGAUGAUAACACAUGUAUUACUUCUUUUUUAAAUAUAUAAGAAACAUAUCUCACCAUCUUAAUCCCGCUUGUGAAGUUAAAAAACUUCACCAUCUGUGUAUUCGAUGAUUUCUCAUGAGUUAAUGUGCGGUUCAUAUAAGACAAGAAAUUAACACGCUUUUUAUUAGAUUUUGUCUAUAAGGGGUUGACAUCCAGCUACAUUAUUACAUACUUUGUCGCUUGUGCUUAAUUGCCUAGAUCCAAUUCUUCAUAUACUCGUCCCUAUCCAUGUUAUUAAUUUUUGCUCUAAUUUUGAUGUUAGUGAUAAAGUUUUAAUGAUGUUAUUAGUUGCAAAUAAGGUAACCAGCUAGUAUUAUUUAUUUUUCAAUGGGAUAAUUUCUAGUUACAUUGACCUGUUUUGCAUACUCAUCAUUCUAGUUCCCCAUAUUUUAAAAGUUAAGUUCUUUUUUUUUUUUUAAUAAAGUUAAAUAAUUAAU